rnacentral:misc_RNA from 1 species
AGUUGUAUCCGGCCGUAAGGCUUGUGAUCGUUCCACGUAUUUAACUGCCUUCAAGUCGGCCAACCUUCGGGUUGGAAGGAUGGAGGCAGGGUUAUCAGUCGCCGAAAGGCCGCUGCUCUGGCUCUUACGGUGGUUGCAGCAAUGCUUCCUUUAGGUUUAUAACUAAACCCGUGCCUACCUUCUUUGUUGCUUUGGCAGGCCGCUUCGGCGUCGGCUCCGGCUGAUAGUGCCUGCCAGAGGAUCCAAACUCUUGUUAUAGUGUCGUCUGAGUAAAUUAUAAUAGUUAAAACUUUCAACAACGGAUCUCUUGGUUCU